GGACUACACGGGUUUCUAAUCCUGUUUGAUCCCCACGCUGUCGCGCCUGAGCGUCAGUAACGGGCCAGUGAGCCGCCUUCGCCACUGGUGUUCUUCCCAAUAUCUACGAAUUUCACCUCUACACUGGGAAUUCCACUCACCUCUCCCGUACUCAAGCCGAUCAGUUUCAAAGGCAAUUCCGAGGUUGAGCCUCGGGCUUUCACCCCUGACUUGAUCAGCCGCCUGCGCGCGCUUUACGCCCAGUAAUUCCGAACAACGCUAGCCCCCUUCGUAUUACCGCGGCUGCUGGCAC
rnacentral:rRNA from 1 species